GUUUGAUCCUGGCUCAGGACGAACGCUGGCGGCGUGCGUAACACAUGCAAGUCGAACGAGUGCAGCAAUGCACGAGUGGCGGACGGGUGAGGAACACGUGGCUACCAACCUGACACUGGGGAAUACCCGUGGGAAACCACGGCUAAUACCGCAUACGCCCGCAAGGGGAAAGGCUUAGGCCGGUGACAGACGGGGCUGCGCCCGAUUAGCUAGUUGGUGGGGUAAUGGCCUACCAAGGCGACGAUCGGUAACUGGUCUGAGAGGAUGGCCAGUCACAUUGGGAUUGAGAACGGCCCAAAUCCCUACGGGGAGCAGCAGUGAGGAAUAUUCGGCAAUGGGCGCAAGCCUGACCGAGCGACGCCGCGUGCGGGAAGACGCUUCUCGGAGUGUAAACCGCUUUUCUCUGUGACGAGACAGGACGGUAGCAGAGGAAGAAGUCUCGGCUAACUACGUGCCAGCAGCCGCGGUAAUACGUAGGAGGCAAGCGUUGUCCGGAGUUACUGGGCGUAAAGCGUGGGUAGGCGGUCGUGUGCGUCUGUGGUGAAAUCUCCUGGCUUACCUGGGAGGGGGCUAUGGAUACGGCGCGACUUGAGGGCGUGAGAGGCUUGUAGAACUCCCGGUGGACCAGUGAAAUGGGUAGAGAUCGGGAAGAAUACCAGUGGUGCAGACGGCAAGCUGGCGCGUACCUGACGCUGAUCUACGAAAGCAUGGGGAGCAAACAGGAUUAGAUACCCUGGUAGUCCAUGCGGUAAACGAUGUCCACUAGGUGUGCGGGGUAUCGACCCCCUGCGUGCCGGAGCUAACGCACGAAGUGGACCGCCUGGGGAGUACGGCCGCAAGGUUAAAACUCA
rnacentral:rRNA from 1 species